rnacentral:rRNA from 1 species
AACUUCUGAAAAUUUGACCUCGGAUC